GAGAGAAGGGUUCAGCCGUCAGCGUGACUGCAGCCUCACAAACUGUAACGUGCCGAGGUGCUGGCGUGGGCAUGGGGGGGAUCACGAGGGCGCCCUGGCUGCCUCGUGGCCCCGCAGCAGCCGAUGGGUGAGGUGAGGUGAUCCUAGCAGCAACCACAAAGGCUCUUCACAACAAUAAAUAAGCCUUCAGGUAAGGGGUGUUUUAAAGCCUUUCCUCACGGAGAUAUGCAGGAAGAGAAAUGCAGCUCAAAGUCCUUCACAGGACAGACUGAUACUGAGUAACUUAAAACUAAAAACCAGCGUUCAGCUUCCGAGGAGGUAUUUUUUGCACAGGCUAUCAGAGUGCCCUUGAAUAUAUAAAUGAAUCAAAUCUUGCUGACUGAUUCACAGCUGGAAUUACACAGGCUAUUUUAAUCUCAGGGACACUAACCUUUCUAAGUUUUUUCUAUUGUGACUGGAAAAAGACUUAAUUUCUCUACGCAGCGUGUCAGAGCAGGAUUCUGAUCUGUCUGCUAUGUUCUGCCCUGAAAAUACUAUCCAUUAAGUUGCCCAGUCAACUAUCCAAGAUGACACUUGUUAAGGAAAAAUAAAAAAUACUCCUUGCUGAUGGGAAGCAGCCAGUAGCACCUCUUGUAGCACAAAACAUCAGAAAAGCCUUAGAAAUGUACACCUUUGAAAUAGGUCAUUUUCUUGGAUUUGGUUUUUUUUUGGUUUGACUUUUUUUCCUCUAGCUGACAGAAAUGGUUCAGUUAACAAGUUGUAGUUUUGGUGUGGGCUAUCACAGACUGUCCUGGCCCCAAGCAUGCUGAAAUAGAAACUAGCUUUUAAUGUUGGCCAUGAAAAAUAUUGAUUAUCCUGAAACAGGGUCAGUGUCUCAUUCAGUGGUGUAAGAGCAGAGCCUAAUAAGAAGUAUUUGCAUUAUCUGCUCUUUACUUCAUUAAUCUGCCUCCUAUUUUCCUACCAACUUUUAUAUUCACAUUUGAAAUUUUUAUAUUUUUGAUUGGAGAGUCUGAGUAACAAAUAGUGAGGAAAACUUUAUUCAACUAAUUCCUUGUAAAUUGGCAUUACUGUAUUCCAGCAAGAGCAUCGAUUUGAUAGUUGUACUUGUUUUUUAAAAACAUUACUCUUCAGCUAGACAGGAGGAGAAUUCUGGCUGUUUGCAUAAUUUUGAAGAUUAGAACCUAAAGCAAACGUGUGUUUUAUUUAUCUAAACUUGGGCCUUUCACACUUUCUUCCAGGAAGCCAUUAAUAACAUGUUAGCAAAGUUUCACUCCCCGAGCAAGGCCAUCUUGCACCUGCCUUUAAUACAAACACGCAGUUAUGUGCUGCAGAUAAGAGGACAAAUUGGUUUCAUCGCUUGCUCUACUUUUAUAAAAUCCCCUCUUGAAGCUUUUUGGGGCAAGUCUGGAGCUGGACCCAGAUCACACUGUGAAGGGAAUGGAGGAAACAGAAGAUGAGGUCAGACUUUGAUCAUCUUUUCUCUGCCUCCUUGUUCUCCCGCUCUUCUGCCCCUGUUUUGUGUGUCCUCAGAACGACAGAUUAUGGCACGAACGGACACUCAGCAUAGCAAAACGGUAAAAACUAGCUUUCUGAAAUGCAAGUUUACAAAAGGUUCAGUAACCUGUGGCACUGAAAGAAGGGGCUAAUCUCCACUGCAGUUAAGUCUAAGUUCCUAAUUAUUGUACAGCUACCCAAGAGGGUAUCAUCAUUAUUGUUUCUAAUGUUCGUCAGUUGAUCAAGUAUGGGUAUUUUUGAAGCACAGUGACCUAGGUUUAUUCCUUUUCUUGCUACUGGUACCACAGAUGAGAGAAUCUGAAAUAGAGCCGGUUGGACCACACUGCCUCUGAAGCAGGAGAAACUUAGCUCUGACUUGGCUGAUGGCAGUGGACGACGUUUCCUGCAGAACCUUUUCCUCCUGGGGCAGAUGCAGCAGCCUGGCUGCACACUCCCACUUACAACAUCAGGGUCUUAAAAGUCAGUAACAGAAGCUUUUUUAUAGUUGAGCCAGAUCUUUUCUGUCUAGCACAUUCAGUCGUUUAAAAUACGUUCAACUAUUCUUCCAAUAUUAUUUGUUCUUGCAUUGGUGUCACCUGUUCUCUCUGCUAAAGAAAACAUCAUAGCUGUGAUAACCUUGAGAACAGUAAUCAGGUUCUGACAAAAUACUUCAGCAGUUUCAUUGCAUUUGCUUGAUAUCGAGCACUAAUGAAAACAAAAUCACUUGGAACUUUUUAUAAACUAAUUAUUCAGCCUCUAAUUCCUCUCAGUAGAAGCCUGUAGAAAAGCUUCAUGACUAAUGACCUGGUAAAUACUCACUUUAAAAAGAAUGCAUAAUUAUGUGCUUAUGUGGGUUUUGAAGUAGAUACUGUCUCUUCAUUUGCAACAAUUCCACCAUAGCAGCACUACUCACCUAGAAAGCUUCUGAGGGGUGCUGCACAGCUAAAAUACAUAUUCAGUCUGGGUAUGCAUACUGGAGGGCUGCUUUGAUCUUACCGGGGAGAGGGAGAAGGUACAUUUGGCAUGAAAUGAUUUUAACUUUUACAAAAGUAUUUCUGGUUUCUAAGAAAAACAUCACUUUUAUUUCCACUAUUCCUUUCUGCUGUCAUCCCAACGUGCAUCACUGUGUAAGCCAUCACAUAGUGUGAGUUACAGAAGACCUCAGGAAUAUUUGACAUCACACAAUGAUGGCUGGCUGAUAAGCAGCCAAAGAUAGAAGUGUCCAAAAGAGAAGAAAACAAGUGAGUAAUUCAUUUUUCCACUGAAUAUCUGGGUCAUGGGAUUGUUUUAUUUCCGGGCUCAAAAUCAAUGCAACUUUCAUGACAGAUUUUUAGUAUUGUAAAGGCCAGAAUAGCAAUUUAAGAGCAGUUUCAUUCCAGGUCCCAAAGGAGGUGGUUUUGCGAUUGGUUUACGCUGCUCGAACACCCCCCUGGCACAGAAAGGGGUGGUCCCUCUCUCACCCCUUGCUGCAGGUUUCCAUUUUUUCUUCUGUGUGUUUCCCCACCAGCAUUUCUUCCCAGGGACCAGUUUUCAGAGGGCUGACCUGAGCGCUCAGCGUGGAGACGCUGGCACUGCUGAGAGGGGAGCGUGAGUGGGGUCCUUCGGGCGCUGGCCGAGGGGGGCUCCACCUCACAGCCCUCCCACGGGCUCUGCAAGCCAGCUCAGGUGCCUGCCAGAGACAUCUGAUCCACAAGCAGCCAGUGUAGCUGUCAACAAUUCCAUGAGAUGCAUGCUGCUGCCUCCUAGAAGAUACUCACUUAAGAGAAAUCCCAUGUGAAUGAGAAGGGAGAAGAAGAAAACUGCAGCCAAUGACAAGGUAGGAAUUUUUACAUUUGGCAUAUCUCUACUGUUUGUUGCUGGGAGAGAAAAGCCCUGAAGUCUCAUUUUACCUGAACUUGAAAAGUCCUUCACAUCUAAGGGAGUUACCAUGCUACUGACUGUCUCCAGUCCUGUGUCUGAUUACCACAGUUUCACUGGCUAGUGAGCUAAUAAUGCUAGUUUUAAAAUACAGUGCUCAUGAUUAAAUUCCAUGAUAAAAUUAUCCUAUUUUCACUAGAUCCAGCAAUAUAUGAACCAAUAGGAAACUAGCCUUCUUAAAAUAAAAACAACAGAAAAACAAAACAAAAAAAACCCAAAAACAAACAAAAAACCCCUAACCCCCAACAUUUGUCUCUUGCACUCACAUAAUAUAGCACAUUCCUUUCAGGAAAUUCUUUUCAUUUUUUUACAGUGGAGGACAGGAAAGAAGGAAGUGACCACAUCUAGUGCAUUUCUUCUCAUUUUCAUGGACUGUGCAAAGAAAAAGGGGAAUUAAACUGCAGGAAGUGGUUACGGUGGAAGAAACCAAGAUCCAGUCUUCUCUCGUUUAUCCUCGCUGCGAUGACAGCUCCGAUGUUACUGUUAAAAUGAAAUACAAAGCUUGGUUCUCCUUAGCUGACACUGGCGGAGUUUGAGCAGCGCCGAGCGUUUCCUGCUGCUACCAGUUCGCUCCACUCACUUCAUUUCUCACAGCAACGCUCCGGAGCGGCUGAGGAUGUCGUGGGAGCAGAGGAAGCACAGGCCACGGAAGGGCAAGCAGCGAGGUGAAGCAGGGAUCGCUGGAAAGAAGUUAAAACCACACUGCACAGAAGUUUCACGCUCACAGUUUUGAUGCCUCAGGUUUUGGGGGAGCUCAGAGGCUUGAAUGAGAAGUAAGAGCUUAAAAAGUGUUAAGAAAGAGUGUAAA